AGAACUUAGCAGAGAUGCUUUGGUGCCUUCGGGAACGUCUGAGACAGGUGCUGCAUGGCUGUCGUCAGCUCGUGUUGUGAAAUGUUGGGUUAAGUCCCGCAACGAGCGCAACCCUUAUCCUUUGUUGCCAGCGGUCCGGCCGGGAACUCAAAGGAGACUGCCAGUGAUAAACUGGAGGAAGGUGGGGAUGACGUCAAGUCAUCAUGGCCCUUACGAGUAGGGCUACACACGUGCUACAAUGGCGCAUACAAAGAGAAGCGACCUCGCGAGAGCAAGCGGACCUCAUAAAGUGCGUCGUAGUCCGGAUUGGAGUCUGCAACUCGACUCCAUGAAGUCGGAAUCGCUAGUAAUCGUGGAUCAGAAUGCCACGGUGAAUACGUUCCCGGGCCUUGUACACACCGCCCGUCACACCAUGGGAGUGGGUUGCAAAAGAAGUAGGUAGCUUAACCUUCGGGAGGGCGCUUACCACUUUGUGAUUCAUGACUGGGGUGAAGUCGUAACAAGGUAAGCGUAGUGCU
rnacentral:rRNA from 1 species